rnacentral:rRNA from 1 species
CGUGAGCGGCGGACGGGUGAGUAACGCGUGGGUAACGUGCCUCAUACAGGGGAGUAACAGUUGGAAACGGCUGCUAAUACCGCAUAAGCGCACAGUACCGCAUGGUACGGUGUGAAAAACUCCGGUGGUAUGAGAUGGACCCGCGUCUGAUUAGGUAGUUGGUGGGGUAACGGCCUACCAAGCCGACGAUCAGUAGCCGACCUGAGAGGGUGACCGGCCACAUUGGGACUGAGACACGGCCCAA